UGGAGGGGUCCAGACAGGGGACAGGUGGUGUCCUCCAACCAAGGUGUCUCUGCCAAGACACACACAGGGUGCCCUGGUGAUAACCUGGAUAAUAAAUCUGAUUUUGGCCUUGAGUCUGUUCCCUUGGAUUAUCGCAUUUCUUCAAGGACCAAAAGCUGUGCUGGUGAUUCAGACCUGGAGGAGAAUGUCUUUUUUAGUGGUGGUUGCAAGGACAAUGUUCUAGUUUCAGACUACCACAGCUGCCCUGGCUGGCCCAGUGCGAGGUGGCCACAGGCCUCCCACAGGCUGCACCUGGAUGAUGGGAGACACAAUCUGCACCAAGGCUGGACCUGUCCUGGACCAUUGACCAAGUAAAUGGAAAACAGGGAUGGAAAGGAGGAUCCAACACCUUGGCUAUGGCCAAAUCCUGGCUCUGAUCAUCACAGACGACCUGAAUGCCCUGUGAGUCUCCAUCCAGAGGCAGCAGGAGGAUGGUGUUGGCUCAGCUACGCUGAAUUGGCUCCAUGUGACAAAACCCAAGAAUCCCUGCUUGGAAGCGUGGGAGAAAUGAGCUUUUCCCCCAUUUCCCUGGCAGCCUGCUGCUCGGAGCUCUGCUAUUCUUGAGCAGCUUUGCCGGUGGAAUUGGGGCGCCGGAAUGUUUGCGGUGAGGUGGAUGCGUGGAAGCAGAUAACAACACAUCCCAGCAGCUGCCUUCUCGUCCUUUGUCCUGUUCUCACUCAUCUGAAGUCCACAAACAACAGGCUCUAAGCUCACCCCCUUUGUGGGUCUAUGAGCAGUCCAUGGAUUCAAGGAGCUGUGGGAAUACAGGGGUGAGAAUUUCCUUCUCCUGUGGAUCAGAAUGGCACCCGCUCACAGGCGAGAAGAAAGAUCCUGAUGUAAAUGUGCCUCCCAAGCCUUUUGCUCAGAGAAUUUUGAUCUAUUCCCCAAUUCCCUUUCCUUUUUCCUGCCUUUGCUUCCCAAAAACAUACAUGAUCUGUCACAAUUUAUAACCUCUGGUUUAAGGAGGACGGGGCAGACAAAUUCAUCUCUAUAAAAGCUUCUUUUUUUAUUGCACUUAAUGCGCACCUUUCGCCUUGUGUAAUGGAGCUUACAUUCUGGAAAAAAAAUCUUUGACAUCUUCCUAUUUUAUCUCUUCUUCCCCUUUGGCUGCAUGAGCAUCCCACUCCAUCCAUGUGAGCCACGCAGCAUGGGCAACUUCCUUUUCUCUCCAUCUCCCUUUCAGUUGCUGUUUCACCCAGAUCUCUUCCUGGUGCCUGGUACGUUUAGGUAUCGUCCAGCUGUACAGAUUUUCUC